UGCAAGGCGGUUGCCCUCGUCGUCGUUGGUGCCGAGCGGCGCUUUCCCACACAAAGGAUCUCAGCAACGACCCCACAUGUCGUGGCAUGCGCGAGAAUUGUUAUGUUGGGAGGACCAAAACGGGCAUCUUUUCGGACGGAGGAAUAUUCCACGUGGAGUGGGAUGAUUGGCUGAGCCCCACCCCCAAUUGGUGAAAAGGAAGCUCGCAGUGGGAGGAGGAACCUUCUGCGGUCGUCAUCUUUUAUGCCUUCUUGGGGUAUUAGAGGGGGGAAGAGAGAGAGAGAUGAACUGUGUUUGGCUUCGGGUGGUGGCAGACAUGAAGAGAUCUAAUCAACUCCUCCUGCUCUUCUUCUUCCUCCUCCUCCUACGUAUGGUGCACUCACUCGACACCAGGGGAUUAGCACGCAUACAGGAAGCAGCUGCAGCGACCAACACAACAGCAGCAGCAGUAGAAAAAGUGACAGGUGGCGCGUCAUCCGGCGGCCGAGGCGGAGGGCACGGCAGUUCGACGGGCGGCACCGACGGUGGGAACACGGACAGCAGCACCAGUUCCGGUUCGGGCUAUGGAUCAGCGACUCCGAAUCUUCAAGGCGCGGCAGAUCACCCGAGGAACGAUAAACCCCGCAACAGAAACGAUGCGAGCAGCUACCGCUUACCACUCCCCGUCAUCCUCACAGCUGUUGCGUUCUCGCUGUUGCUGCUCUUACAUGAUUUAUAUUAUUAGUAGCCGCCUCUCACAAUGUAUCUCGAUCGAAAGUGGCUGGUGAAGAGGAGUGUUAUCCGAGUGGUGUUUGAUCGUUUGUAUGAAUAGUAUUUGAAUUAACAUAUAUUCCACUCGUCCUUCUCAAGUGAA